rnacentral:snRNA from 1 species
ACCAUCCAUUUUGUGGGGUUGCACUACUGUCCAAUGAAUGUCUUGUGAGAGUACUGCUAAUGCUUAGAGAACACAUUUGCAUUAGCUAGAUAUAUACAAGCUUAGUCUGCAUGAUGGUGAAACA